AACGAACGCUGGCGGCAUGCCUAACACAUGCAAGUCGAACGAGACCUUCGGGUCUAGUGGCGCACGGGUGCGUAACGCGUGGGAACCUGCCCUUAGGUUCGGAAUAACUCCCCGAAAGGGGUGCUAAUACCGGAUCAUGUCUUCGGACCAAAGUUUUAUCGCCUUUGGAUGGGCCCGCGUUGGAUUAGCUAGUUGGUAGGGUAAAAGCCUACCAAGGCGACGAUCCAUAGCUGGUCUGAGAGGAUGAUCAGCCACACUGGGACUGAGACACGGCCCAGACUCCUACGGGAGGCAGCAGUGGGGAAUAUUGGACAGUGGGCGAAAGCCUGAUCCAGCAAUGCCGCGUGAGUGAUGAAGGCCUUAGGGUUGUAAAGCUCUUUUACCCGGGAUGAUAAUGACAGUACCGGGAGAAUAAGCUCCGGCUAACUCCGUG
rnacentral:rRNA from 1 species